GAAUAUUUAUAUUGCUUAGAUUCCUAAAUUUAAGGAUUAAAAGGGAAUCUGGUGAAAGUCCAGAGCGGUCCGGCCACUGUGAAUGGGGAGUACCUUCAAUGUGCCACUGUCUAAUAUUCAACUCUAAGCUUAUUUAAUUGGGACAUUAAUUACUAUUUUUAUUUGCUAUAUUAUUGAUAGAGUUGAGUUUUUGAUGGGAAGGCGAAGAAAUGCUAUGAUCCAUAAGUCAGGAGACCUGUCUAAGCAUUUACGCACCA
rnacentral:ncRNA from 2 species